rnacentral:rRNA from 1 species
AACGUAGGAGACGAACGUUAUCCGGAGUUACUGGGCGUAAAGGGCGUGCAGGCGGUCUGAUAAGUUCGGCGUGAAAUAUUCCGGCUUAACCGGGAUAGGUCGUCGGAGACUGUCGGACUAGAGGGUGAUAGAGGCGUGUGGAAUUCCGGGUGUAGUGGUGAAAUGCGUAGAGAUCGGAAAGAACACCAACGGCGAAAGCACUCUGCUGGGCCGACACUGACACUGAGAGACGAAAGCUAGGGGAGCGAAUGGG